rnacentral:rRNA from 1 species
GACGAACGCUGGCGGCGUGCUUAACACAUGCAAGUCGAACGGAAAGGCCCUGCUUUUGUGGGGUGCUCGAGUGGCGAACGGGUGAGUAACACGUGAGUAACCUGCCCUUGACUUUGGGAUAACUUCAGGAAACUGGGGCUAAUACCGGAUAGGAGCUCCUGCUGCAUGGUGGUGGUUGGAAAGUUUCGGCGGUUGGGGAUGGACUCGCGGCUUAUCAGCUUGUUGGUGGGGUAGUGGCUUACCAAGGCUUUGACGGGUAGCCGGCCUGAGAGGGUGACCGGCCACAUUGGGACUGAGAUACGGCGCAGACUCCUACGGGAGGCAGCAGGGGGGAAUAUUGCACAAUGGGCGGAAGCCUGAUGCAGCAACGCCGCGUGCGGGAUGACGGCCUUCGGGUUGUAAACCGCUUUCGCCUGUGACGAAGCGUGAGUGACGGUAAUGGGUAAAGAAGCACCGGCUAACCACGUG